CGUACACUCCUACGGGAGGCAGCAGUGGGGAAUAUUGGACAAUGGGCGCAAGCCUGAUCCAGCCAUGCCGCGUGAGUGAUGAAGGCCCUAGGGUUGUAAAGCUCUUUCACCGGUGAAGAUAAUGACGGUAACCGGAGAAGAAGCCCCGGCUAACUUCGUGCCAGCAGCCGCGGUAAUACGAAGGGGGCUAGCGUUGUUCGGAUUUACUGGGCGUAAAGCGCACGUAGGCGGACUAUUAAGUCAGGGGUGAAAUCCCGGGGCUCAACCCCGGAACUGCCUUUGAUACUGGUAGUCUUGAGUUCGAGAGAGGUGAGUGGAAUUCCGAGUGUAGAGGUGAAAUUCGUAGAUAUUCGGAGGAACACCAGUGGCGAAGGCGGCUCACUGGCUCGAUACUGACGCUGAGGUGCGAAAGCGUGGGGAGCAAACAGGAUUAGAAACCCUAGUAGUCCCAUGAU
rnacentral:rRNA from 1 species